rnacentral:rRNA from 1 species
GUACGUAAGUUGUUGCAGUUAAAAAGCUCGUAGUUGGAUCUCAGGCUCGUGGCCGGUGGUCCGCUCGAUAAGGGUGUGCACUGCCGUGUCCGGCCUACGUCUGGAUAACGUCUAUAGUGCCCUUAACCGGGUGCUAUAGAAUGCCAGAAAGUUUACUCUGAAAAAAUUAGAGUGCUCAAAGCAAGCCGUUUGUGCUUGAAUACUGUUGCAUGGAAUAAUGGAAUAGGACCUCGGUUCUAUUUUGUUGGUUUUCGGAGUCGAGGUAAUGAUUAAGAGGGACAGACGGGGGCAUUCGUAUUGCGCCGUUAGAGGUGAAAUUCUUGGAUCGGCGCAAGACGAACAACUGCGAAAGCAUUUGCCAAGGAUGUUUUCAUUAAUCAAGAACGAAAGUCAGAGGUUCGAAGACGAUCAGAUACCGUCGUAGUUCUGACCAUAAACGAUGCCAACUGGCGAUCCGCCGCAGUCUGGCUUAAAGGACUCGGCGGGCAGCCUCCGGGAAACCUAAGUCUAUGGGUUCCGGGGGAAGUAUGGUUGCAAAGCUGAAACUUAAAGGAAUUGACGGAAGGGCACCACCAGGAGUGGAGCCUGCGGCUUAAUUUGACUCAACACGGGGAAAACUCACCCGGCCAGGACACCGUA